UACUGUGAGAUACUCUGUGGAUGGCGCACU
rnacentral:piRNA from 1 species